ACCCAAAACCUCUUAACCUCUACCCUAAACCUUGCAACCCUAAACCCUAAAAUCUUAAAUCCUAAAUGCUAAAAUCUUAAAACCCUAAACCCUAAACCAUGCAACCCUAAACACCUAAAUCACCUUAAACCCUAAACCCUAAACCAUGCAACCCUAAACACCCUAACCUAUACACCUUGCAAACACUAAACCCUAACCCUAAAAUCUUAAACCCCAAAACCACCCAAAACCUUAACCCUAAACCCUAAACCCUAAAAUCCUAUACCUAAAAUCUUAAACCCUUAAUCCUAAACGCAAAAUCCUAAAAUCUUAAACCUUAAAUCCUAAACUCAAACCCCAAAACCUCUUAACCUCGCUCUACCCUAAACCCAAAAACCUUAAAACCCUAAACCCUAAACCCUAAAAUCUUAAAUCCUAAACCCAGUCUCGACCCUUGGAAGUGAUGUUACUAUGAUGAGAUGCUUACGAAAAUAAGUUAGGCAAAAAUCACACAACGAAGCUAAAGGGAACACUUGAGCUUUGUAGGGAACUUGUAUUGCUUUCACUCUUGGAUUGUUACAAAUGAGGCCCCUUGAGGGGUAUUUAUACCUAUUCCACCCCCUAAAUCCUAAAUUCAAAACCCUAAACCCAAAACCUCUUAAACCUACCCUAAACCUUAAACUUUAAACCUUAAACUUUAAGUCCUAAACCCUAAGCCCUAAACCUUAAAAUCUUAAACCCCAAACCCUAAAGUCCAUCCAUUGGUGUUACGAACCUAAGCGUAGCUUUAUGCCUUGCGCUAAGUCGCUAAGUGGUUGGGCUCUCGCAUUGGUGACCUUGAGCCAACCUUUCCCUUGUCCAACGAAGACCGAGUCUUCUAGCUUCAUCCUCGGUCCUGAAAUUGUGUGUGAGUAUCUACCAAACAACUACUUCGAUGUACAUUAGCCCCUUAGUUGAAGUCGUCGGCGUUGUUUGGGCUUUAAAGGUUGUGAGGACUUGGAGUGAUCCCAUCCUGCUCGGCUUCUCUUCCUCGUGAGUCUUAGGGGAACCAAAUUUUGGACAAUCCAUCAUUCGGAUGUGGCCCCUUACAUACGUAACAUGCCAGCUUUGACACGAAGGCAUUCUUCUUUUCUUCAUACUCCCUUCGUGCGAUGCUCUUGUCCCCAUUCUUGGUUGGUGACUUCCUUUGGUUGUUUCUCUUGGCUGUCAUGCCACUCUCCCCUAUCUAUUAUCAUACUCUUGUCUGUUCUCUUUGACGGUUGAAUAACAAAAGUUAGUCAAGGAUGAAUUAGAUUGGUUUAUGUAAGUGUUGCUUGUCGUGCAGUUCUUUGUAUAAUUUAUAGUGGUUGCAUAUAAGGAAUUUCUUUUCAAAAUUUAAUUAAACUUCAUGCUUUGAAUUUUUUUUCAUAAGCAACUUUUACUUUCUCACUUGAUAAAUUGCAGAAAAUAGUAUUUAGCUUUUCAAGCAUAUUACUUCUUAUACUAACCACCAUAUAGCUCGGGGUAUGUUACAGUAUAGUGGUCUCAUAGUUCAUGUGUAAUCCUGUUCACGCGGUUAGAGUUGGGAUGAAUGCAGAGAAGAGCGGUGAUGUUGGACGCAUAAUGAUAGUUGCAACUACUGAUGGGCAAACAUAUCACUAAAAAGAUCUACUGAUCUUGAAGCAACAGCCUCUUCUGAUGCACCCAGACCCUCUGCUCAAGAGCUGAAGGGAAGUAUUAUUAUUUGCCAAAUGCUUCAGAUGCUGUUAUCUCUGCAACAACAAAGGAUGCAUUGGCUGCUAAAGAGCUCUUAAACCUUAAACUUGAUUUUUAAUUGUAGAGUGAUAAUGGUUCUAAUACAAAAGGAGAACAAGGGUUCAAAAAUGAUUACUUUGAAAUACUACCUUUUAUAAAAUUUCGCUUCAGGCCAAUAAAAUGUUUGGAUCGGCCCUACCA